rnacentral:rRNA from 1 species
GUAUGCUUAACACAUGCAAGUCGAACGGGAUGCUUAGGCAUCUAGUGGCGGACGGGUGAGUAACGCGUGAGAAUCUGGCUCCAGGUCGGGGAUAACAGUUGGAAACGACUGCUAAUACCGGAUGUGCCGAGAGGUGAAAGAUUUAUUGCCUGGAGAUGAGCUCGCGUCUGAUUAGCUAGUUGGUGGUGUAAGGGACCACCAAGGCGUCGAUCAGUAGCUGGUCUGAGAGGAUGAUCAGCCACACUGGGACUGAGACACGGCCCAGACUCCUACGGGAGGCAGCAGUGGGGAAUUUUCCGCAAUGGGCGAAAGCCUGACGGAGCAAUACCGCGUGAGGGAGGAAGGCUCUUGGGUCGUAAACCUCUUUUCUCAAGGAAGAAGAAAGUGACGGUACUUGAGGAAUAAGCAUCGGCUAACUCCGUGCCAGCAGCCGCGGUAAUACGGAGGAUGCAAGCGUUAUCCGGAAUGAUUGGGCGUAAAGGGUCUGCAGGUGGAACUGAAAGUCUGCUGUUAAAGAGUUUGGCUUAACCAAAUAAAAGCGGUGGAAACUACAGAACUAGAGUGCGGUAGGGGCAAAAGGAAUUCCUGGUGUAGCGGUGAAAUGCGUAGAUAUCAGGAAGAACACCGGUGGCGAAAGCGUUUUGCUAGACCGUAACUGACACUGAGGGACGAAAGCUAGGGGAGCGAAUGGGAUUAGAUACCCCAGUAGUCCUAGCCGUAAACGAUGGAUACUAGGCGUGGCUUGUAUCGACCCGAGCCGUGCCGGAGCUAACGCGUUAAGUAUCCCGCCUGGGGAGUACGCACGCAAGUGUGAAACUCAAAGGAAUUGACGGGGGCCCGCACAAGCGGUGGAGUAUGUGGUUUAAUUCGAUGCAACGCGAAGAACCUUACCAAGACUUGACAUCCUGCGAAUCCUGGUGAAAGCUGGGAGUGCCUUCGGGAGCGCAGAGACAGGUGGUGCAUGGCUGUCGUCAGCUCGUGUCGUGAGAUGUUGGGUUAAGUCCCGCAACGAGCGCAACCCUCGUUUUUAGUUGCCAGCAUUAAGUUGGGCACUCUAGAGAGACUGCCGGUGACAAACCGGAGGAAGGUGAGGAUGACGUCAAGUCAGCAUGCCCCUUACGUCUUGGGCUACACACGUACUACAAUGCUACGGACAGAGGGCAGCAAGCCAGGGAUGGCAAGCGAAUCCAGAAACCGUAGCUCAGUUCAGAUCGAAGGCUGCAACUCGCCUUCGUGAAGGAGGAAUCGCUAGUAAUUGCAGGUCAGCAUACUGCAGUGAAUUCGUUCCCGGGCCUUGUACACACCGCCCGUCACACCAUGGAAGUUGGUCACGCCCGAAGUCAUUACCCCAACCGAAAGGAGGGGGAUGCCUAAGGUAG